rnacentral:pre_miRNA from 1 species
GGUUUUGAGAGGCUGAAGCUGCCAGCAUGAUCUGGUAAUCGCUACAUAUACGCCACACACACGCACCUCUAUACAUGUAUACAGUUUGUUCUUUGACUACUUUGUUGUAUAUAUUUAUGGAUUCAUGCAUGUGUAUAUACAUAUAGUUCACAUGCAUGCCUUUUGUGUAUGGUAAAAUAUAUACUAGUGUAGAUAUAUAUGCGUGUGUGUGCAAAGAUAGUAGUAGUACUAGGUCAUCCUGCAGCUUCAGUCACUAAAUCA